rnacentral:rRNA from 1 species
GCCACCGUAUGUUGACCUGCCCCCGGGCGGGCGCAGAGGUGGUCACCCCCCGGCGGACCACUAAAACCCUGUAUCGUUUGCGUCUGAGUAAGAAUCUUUGAAUUAAUCAAAACUUUCAACAACGGAUCUCUUGGUUCUGGCAUCGAUGAAGAACGCAGCGAAAUGCGAUAAGUAAUGUGAAUUGCAGAAUUCAGUGAAUCAUCGAAUCUUUGAACGCACAUUGCGCCCCUCGGUAUUCCGUGGGGCACACCUGUUCGAGCGUCAUUUCACCACUCAAGCCUCGCUUGGUAUUGGGCAACGCGGGCACGGGUGCCCGCGUGCCUCAAAUGCUCCGGCCGAGCAAGUCAGUCUCUUAGCGUUGUGGAAACCUAUUCGCUUUGUGGGCACUGGCGGCGCGCGCCGUUAAAAAGGGAAACGAUACGUUUACCGUAUUUUUUUGAAAGGUUGACCUCGGAUCAGGUGGGGAUACCCGCUGAACUUAAGCAUAUCAAUAAGCGGAGGAAAAGAAACCAACAGGGAUUGCCCCAGUAACG